rnacentral:rRNA from 1 species
UACAGAGGUCCCAAGCGUUGUUCGGAUUCACUGGGCGUAAAGGGUGCGUAGGCGGUCGGGUAAGUCUGAUGUGAAAUCUCACAGCUUAACUGUGAAACUGCAUUGGAUACUAUUCGGCUUGAGAGUUGGAGGGGGGACUGGAAUUCUUGGUGUAGCAGUGAAAUGCGUAGAUAUCAAGAGGAACACCAGUGACGAAGGCGAGUCCCUGGACAACUUCUGACGCUGAGGCACGAAAGCUAGGGGAGCAAACAGG